rnacentral:rRNA from 1 species
GACGAACGCUGGCGGCGUGCUUAACACAUGCAAGUCGAACGGAAAGGCCCUGCUUUUGUGGGGUGCUCGAGUGGCGAACGGGUGAGUAACACGUGAGUAACCUGCCCUUGACUUUGGGAUAACUUCACGAAACUGGGGCUAAUACCGGAUAGGAGCUCCUGCUGCACGGUGGGGGUUGGAAAGUUUCGGCGGUUGGGGAUGGACUCGCGGCUUAUCAGCUUGUUGGUGGGGUAGUGGCUUACCAAGGCUUUGACGGGUAGCCGGCCUGAGAGGGUGACCGGCCACAUUGGGACUGAGAUACGGCCCAGACUCCUACGGGAGGCAGCAGUGGGGAAUAUUGCACAAUGGGCGGAAGCCUGAUGCAGCAACGCCGCGUGCGGGAUGACGGCCUUCGGGUUGUAAACCGCUUUCGCCUGUGACGAAGCGUGAGUGACGGUAAUGGGUAAAGAAGCACCGGCUAACUACGUG